rnacentral:rRNA from 1 species
AAUAUGGGACAAUGGGGGCAACCCUGAUCCAGCCAUGCCGCGUGUGUGAAGAAGGUCUUAGGAUANUAAAGCACUUUAAGUUGGGANGAAGGGCUUUAGGUUAAUACCCUGAAGUUUUGACGUUACCAACAGAAUAAGCACCGGCUAACUCUGUGCCAGCAGCCGCGGUAAUACAGAGGGUGCAAGCGUUAAUCGGAAUUACUGGGCGUAAAGGGCGCGUAGGUGGUUCAGUAAGAUAGGUGUGAAAUCCCCGGGCUUAACCUGGGAACUGCUUUCAUAACUGCUGAGCUAGAGUACGGUAGAGGAUAGUGGAAUUUCCUGUGUAGCGGUGAAAUGCGUAGAUAUAGGAAGGAACACCAGUGGCGAAGGCGACUACCUGGACUGAUACUGACACUGAGGUGCGAAAGCGUGGGGAGCAAACA